rnacentral:rRNA from 1 species
AGUGAUGAAGGCCCUAGGGUUGUAAGCUCUUUCACCGGAGAAGAUAAUGACGGAAUCCGGAGAAGAAGCCCCGGCUAACUUCGUGCCAGCAGCCGCGGUAAUACUAAGGGGGCUAGCGUUGUUCGGAAUUACUGGGCGUAAAGCGCACGUAGGCGGAUCGAUCAGUCAGGGGUGAAAUCCCAGGCCUCAACCCUGGAACUGCCUUUGAUACUGUCGAUCUGGAGUAUGGAAGAGGUGAGUGGAAUUCCGAGUGUAGAGGUGAAAUUCGUAUAUAUUCGGAGGAACACCAGGGGCGAAGGCGGCUCACUGGUCCAUUACUGACGCUGAGGUGCGAAAGCGUGGUGAGCAAACAGGAUUAAAUACCCUGGUAGUCCACGCCGUAAACGAUGAAUGUUAGCCGUCGGGCAGUAUACUGUUCGGUGGCGCAGCUAACGCAUUAAACAUUCCGCCUGGGGAGUACGGUCGCAAGAUUAAAACUCAAAGGAAUUGACGGAGA